CGCGCCAGCCGCGCUAUUGGGGGAUGGAAACCACCUUAUAGAGUCUCUCCUCGGUCCUCGAUGCGAGCGGAUUGUCACAUGCUUCUGCUUGCACGGCAGAGCGCGUUUCCUCUUCUUCAUUCGAGUUCGAUUUUGCGGUGGAGAACUUUCUUCGUGGUGUGAGUGAGCGAGACAUGGCGGUCAGUCAGUCGGGGCGAGCACAAAAAAAAAGUAGCGGUCGGAAGAAAGUUACAAAAGUCAUAUCGAGGCCACACUGCCGGAAUAUCCGCACCGCGUUAUCACGAUACUUCUUCCUCACAGUGAACCGCGACAUUCUUUCCCUCAUUUUUUUUUACUUUUCAAUUUAUUCUUCGUGGUAUGAGUGCAUUGUGCGAUUGAACAUGGCGACCGCUCACGUGUGUUUACUCGGGACAGGUGUGACGUAGUGAAGCCGUUUCUUUGAAAGCUUUGUGAUCCGUUAUCUGGAUCAAUUGAUUAAAUUGAUAUUGAUUAAAUUGAAAAUUUGUCGAAGCCUGAUGAAUUAAAGAGAAGAUAGAGAUGAGAGAAUAAUAAUCGAUUCACUGUCCAAGUGUUAAUACCAAUGCCUGUUAUAUAAGAAACACCAGAUAGAGAGAAAGUUCACCAGUUGCGUUUCUGAUGACUUAUUUUGUGAAUCGAUUGCGGUGAUGUGUACCGUCAAUUGUACAUGCAACGUUACGCAGCAUUGCCCUGGCUUUGUUUAGAGCCUUCGACGAGUUCCAGUGAAAAGGGCUCUCCUCGUGCGUGUUGUACGAGAUAUAGACGUUUGCAUGGCGCACAUGGCGUACUGGAUAUACUGUUCAGCAUUGUUGUCACUGCGGAAUUGGCAAACCGCGAUCCGAUUGUUGUGUACUUAGAUUUGUCGAUCUCUAAAUUUUCUUCGACGUUCACAUUUGUUUAUUAAUUUGUUGCAUGUCACGUAUAAUGACAGACUUUAUCGCAAGCAUAAGGUAGCGGCAAAUUUAUGUGGUUUCAAGUGAACAGUAAAAGAGAAACCGAAAGAAGAUUGAACUACGUCACAUCUGCUAAGAGAAUGUAUGCGGUUACUAAUGAUUAUGUAAACGCGUCACACGACCGACGGAUGUUCAUUCAUCGGGUUCUCAUGUAUCGACGAAGAGAGUUACUUAUUGGCAGGUAAUUAUGGGAGUGUCAAUCGAUGAUUCUACCGUUAUAUUUUUACGAAGAAAAAUAUCGAAGCGUUCAAGGUGAUAUGGUACAUGCGAAGGAUUAAGUUAUUUAACAUUUAAACAAAUUUAUGUAUGUAGCAUGUAAUAAGUUUCUUUGAUUACGCAAGAAGAGAAAUCUCCUAUAACUUCUUAAAUGUCAGGCUUAUGAGAGUGUCAUUCUUUCGAUUUCAUAACUUUUUAAAGAUUGAGAAGACAUUUCUCUUUUUGUCACGGUAUUCCGUGUCCGACGUCCGAUCGGUUUUCAUGGAAGUUUCCUGAAAUUAAAAGUUACAUCAAAUUUUUUUUAAGUGCAGCCAUUUGUUCUAGAAACUUAUAAAUAUGUUCACGAAUUUUUAGAGAUCUUUUAAACCAUUUUAGAUAGGUGAAAAAGUGGUCAGAUGCGAGGUAUCCAUAAUUAGACUAAUAAGAUUCUUCUUACAUUGUACCUUAAGAGUUAAUAUUGGGUAUAGUACAAUCAUAGAAAAAAUAUUUUUUAUAAUAUAAAAAAUCUCUUAGGAAAUUAAAAUAAUAUGUUACUGUAUCACUAUAUUAAUUUAAUACAUUGUGAAACAGCUGGACGUGUCUAAAUGGCAUGAGAUCGCUCAGUCGUUAUAUUUUUUAAAUCUCCGUGAAAUUCUAGCAAUUAUAGCUAUAAUAAUUGCUUUAUAUUUCGCUUCAACUGUCGUAGAUAUUGGCAUCGUGCCGGGUUUCAAAACUUUGAAACUCGGUCAAGCUGCAACGUUUACGAUUCGACAGCCGGACAAUAAUUGUCGCCCAAAAACCGAUCGUUUGCGGAUACCUGCGAAUUUCUGCCGUUUGCUCAGCUGCGAAUGAUAUCCCUGAAUUAUCAAAAGCCUGAGUAUUUCGCAAGGAUCAUGCGAGACAGGAGAGUUGUCAGAAGAAUUUUUCCCAGUCAACUUUGACACGCAGGUUCCUUUGUACGCACCAUUUACGUGCGAAGCUUAACUUUUUGCUCUACACCGCGCCUAGUAUUAUCACGCUCUGUAUUUAUACUUGAUGUUAGAAACAAUUUACUCGUUUACUGCAGUAAAAGUAACCGCCCGGAAAUAAUUAAACGAGCAGAAAGUUCCUCUAAUCGCAAAAUUUUUUUCGUUCGAUAUUAAAAUGACAUAAGAAAAUCUUUCCGCUCCAUUCAUGAAUUUUUAGCACGGGGCACUUAUAUAGGUGAAAGAUGAUACAGCUGCUUAUAUUGAAAUACAAAUUAUAAUAAUAUUAUUAAGAAUCUUACAAGUUUUGCACUUUUAUUUGUAGAAAAAUUAUUAUACAGAAUGACUGACUAUUAUAGACUAUGAUGAAUAUUAUUAUAAUUUUAAUAAAGAUUAAUCUCUGCAAAUUGAAAAUGGAGUAACUUUUAGCAUUUAUUUUAAACUAAUAACGUAAACUUUCGAAAUAAAAUAAAGCAAAUAGAAAUAUCCGCAAUCUAUCGAGAUCGAUAAUGAUCGAGUCUACCAGCAUUCGGAAUUAUUCUUCGACAGAUGUAGACACAAAAUGGCCAUUCAAACGUGACUCCGCGUUAGCAGAUAUGGAUCGCGCCCUCCCUGACGGUCGGAGGAAUCCCUCUCGAGGGGGGCAAACGACCAGAGGACGGGGUUGGUGUUACCAUGGCAACAACGAUCCCUCUGUAGCCGAACCCUCCUACACCCUUCAUUCAACUCUGCCACCCAUAUAAUCCGCUCGAACUCAAAGACAGCCACUGCGCAAUUUUCGCGAGAGGAUACACGAUGUAUUACGAAGAGAAAUUUUGACGUGUCUGUCAAUAAUUACACAAAAAAAGUGAAUCGGCAAAAAUAUAAAGAGAUUCAAAUUAGAAAUGACAUUUCAAUUAGAUCUAAUCUAUUAUUGGGGUUUUAUUAUUUUAAAACAAUAUUUUAUUAUUCAAUGGAAUCAGUUAAUUCAAAUAUCAGAAUUUUGUAUUCAUGCUUACGUGAUAUUCUUCAUGAUUAUUAAUAUUUCUCGCACAUUAAGAAACUAGCUAGGAAAUUUGUCAUCUAUAAAGAACGAGGAUUAAUCCUGACCAGAUAAUAUUGUUCUUGAUAGGAGGAUUAAUCGGAAAUGUCAGUAAUUUUCUAUCGAUAUUAUUGCGACUUUAAUUCGCUAGGAUUGUUUUGCACUAACAUUUAAAAAUGAUUACUACUUCGAUAAUACUCGGAGAUAACCAAUGAGAGAGGCAACAAGACCUAAAAUUACGCGCGUUAACUCUGUCGACGGGUAGAGAAUACAAUUCGUGAUGUAAUUGUAAGUAUAGAUCGCGGAUAUAUUUGCCACGGCGGUUACGUACGUGAUUGUAAUUAAAGUUACUUCAAUAAUUGAUAGCCGCGCGCGAGAAUGCGUUGAUCCGCAGAAAUCACUUCUAGGAAUUUAACGUGUAUAAUCAUUCCUAUACGUGAUUGCACAACAUUGUUUUCAAUCUGUUCUUAAUCUGUAUUUCUCCCCUUCCCUUGAAAGAAUUCUCGCGGAAAACCUAUUUUGCGGUCGAUUUCAGAAAAUAAUAUGCAUGCGAGGAGCCAUUACGUAAGCACGUAAAAGAAAAAUGUACGUAGUUCUACUUUAACACCUGUUAAUUGUGCGUUGAAGAGUAUCUUUCGUUGAGGAGAUCGGAGUAAAUUGGUAUCCUCUAGUAAUAUGAAUCUUAUAAUUAUCGGAAGUUAGAAUUAUAAUAUAAUUCGAUUAAACUAAUGGAAAUAAUGGCGCGAUCAAGAACAAUUUGUUGGUACUUGACGCAUAUUUUUCUCUCGAUUAUCCUACGCGAAAAAUAUUUAAUCGAUCAGAACGUAAUAUUUUAUUCAAUCGGCAUCUUCAACCGAGUGAUUAACUCUUUUCGCGUUGCCUUUCGCAUUUGGAUUUCCCCUAAUCUGCAAAGACGGGACGAGAAAGGCAUGACGCGAAUUCGAGGCGAUAUUCUGUCUCUUUUUCUCGCAUCCCUUCGUCUCGAUUUGGCAACCCUUUCGAUCGCGCAUUCACUCCCGACUUCGGCGGCACGGGCAGACCGCGAGUUAGGCGACGACUAGAUGGAAUGUUCUCGCGACGUCUAAUUACUUUGAAGAAGUUAAAAAGGGCAUGGCCGACGGACAGUCCCCUUUGUCGGAUGCUUAACGAAGCGUCAAAAGGCUACCUCGAACAGUCCAAGUCUGACCCAAAUAAAUAUUCAUGAGGGUACUAUAUACAGCGGCGUGCCGCGCGGCGCCGCGUUCUCUUUCCUUUUAUUAUUAAUUAUUUUCCUUCUUUUUUAUUACGACAUCGCUUUCUCGCCCCAAAGAGAUACGCACACAUGCAUGCGUAAGCGGCGUCACACGUGGGUGAAAAAUCUGCAAAAAGGCCCUUGUGUGUGGUGAGAACGCGGCCGAUCGCAUAUUGUAAUAUCGUCCGGCCGAUUAACAUAAUAUCUCUGCUCCUUUCGUAUUCAAAACGGGCCACCGCCGCGGCUCAGAUAAUGGUACUCCCGAUCCGUGUUUAUACUAAUGCUAGGUUUGCCGGGACGAGCUCUAAGAUCAUAAUGAGGCUUCGAUCGUAUUAGGCACACAGAAGGGUGUCUCUCGUCGCGUUCCCUCCUGAUUUCGCUCCCGACUCCGUCUUUUUGCCCUCCCGCCCUGCGUCGAAUUUUCGUGGAUAGCAUGAUAUUUUUUUUUUUACAGGGUGCAUCAUUAGAAAUGGGGAGACGAAAGAGGGAGAGUGACCACUCGUACUAUUUAGCGUCGUUUUGUGCCACGAUCUUAUUAAAAAUGGUUCGACGAGACGAUAGUCGCCUAGACUUAAAUACUGUUUUCUAUUCGUUCCUUGUGAUACUUCGUGGAAGUCGAUCGACGGGUUUCGUAAGCAUAAUUUAAUGCACAUAUUGUGUGUUAGAAAAUUCUGUUAAUAGCUUGUUAUAAUCUCGUUAAAGUUAAAUAAUCAACCGUCUAACAUAUGUCUACUAAGUAUCAAAAUUCAUUUGAAUGCUAAAACUUAUAUUACAUACAUUAAUAAACAGAAAAUUAAUCUCAGAUAUAAACUGUAUUUCUUUAUCACUCUAUUUCAAUUUGAUUUAAUACAAUUCAUAUGAUGCGAAUCUCUUUUAUGUGCGUCUGCCAAUCGAUGAUUUGAGAGAUAAUGCGAUAGGAAAGUAACUUCUCGUUCGGAGAAAAUCAACAGUUUUCCCGCGAAACGAGCUUAAAAUCUCCCCUUCGUCGGUCGGAGAAGUGCCAUUAGCGGCGGUGACGGCGGACCGAGCUUUAGAAGCUCCCGGCUUUCCCGCGUCGCUCGUUAUUCUCUCGUUGUCAAUGACGUUCGUAAUAUUGCAUCCAUUCCGUUCACCGCCUCUCGUCGGGGUUGACUGAAUCGCUGCCUUUUAAUCCUAAGUGCAGAACAAUGCCGUUGGAUUCUCGCGAUGACAAAUGCAAACUUCUCGUCGAAUUCUACGAAGUUCUCUCGUUAAAUAUUGUCAAAGCAAAAUAUUUUAUUUUUACGUUAUAUAUUUGUGUUAAAGUAUAAGUUAUUACAUCUAAAAUUAUUAAAAAAUAUAUAUUUUACAGUUACUAAUAAAGAUCAAUAAAUGUACUUUGUAUCUAUUUAAAUAGUAAAUAUUUCCUUAAAAUUUAUUUUGAGUAUUGUCUAUAGUAUAGUAUAAAUUCGAAAAACGAAUAAUACUUUUAUCUCGCUACACAUUCACGGGACAUUACAUUGCACACUAAAUUCAUCCUAAUGCCUAGCUUCACGUAUUGCGCCAUCCCUUUAUUCGUGGGAAAUGGCACGAUAACCAUACUUCAGCGUGAACCCUCGCCACGAUGAUGCGUUCGGCGAAAUCGGCGCGGCUUUCUUCAACACACGUGCGAGCAAAAACGCGAGUGCGGUAAUAGCGCCGCGAGCGUUGCACCGCUAUCUCGAAUAACGCCGCGCGCGGGACGUCAACAUCGGCCCUCCGGCCGUUUACGUUGCACGGUCUGACAUAAAGCGCGCCGCGAUUCAUGGGGACCACGGAAUUUCGGGAUUAAUGCCUUUUUAAUAGUGACAUAACUGCGGGCGCUCGUUUCGCGUCAGCGCCCUUUUUUCCUCUAACGCGCGCUUCGCGGAAAGCCGUCCGAAACUGCAUGGCGGCGACGGAGUGAAGAUUUUUAACGACGCCCGGGAAGGGGAGGUUGGACAAGGGAGAUACAGAAAAUCGCGUGCAUACGUUACAGGCACGAGAAUGCUCGGACUUUCUUCCGGACCGCCACCGCAAAACGGCACGAAAGCAGGAGAGCACGAGACACGCAUCCCAGUCGUUACGCCGCUGACCGCCGCCGCGUCGAUUUGGCAGCUGGGAAAAAUCUUGAAUGCAUCGACGAUACAUUGCAGAAACACUCCUCUCAUUAAGCGAGAGUGCCUCUGUAACAUUUGUUACGUGUGAUUUUUAAUUUUAACUGAAAUAAAAUAUCGUAUACCGUUUCUCGUUUUACAAACUAAUCAAAGGCCAACAAAAAUUGAGGUAGCUUAAUGUCGUUAGUAAUUACAGCCAAGGAAUGAGUAGAAUAGUAGUCAACAAACUGGCAAUAAUUUAUUGUAAAUCACAGUGAGACUGUGAUUUACAAUAAAAUAUUGCCAGUUUGUCGACUACUAUUCUACUCAUUCCUUGGCUAAUCAAAAGGGUAUGUUUUGUAACUGACUGAACAACAUUUUGUUUACAUUAUUAUCUGCGAAAUCGUAUGAAAUUACAUAAAAUCACGACGAUUAUAUACGUGUAACCGAAACAAAUGUAUUUCGGGACCUGUAACGGACCGAGGAUAUUAUUUUGCGGCCGAAAAAUGAGCCUUGUUACACAGCAGUGUUUCGCGCGAGCCCUCCCUGUUUGCCGCCAUUUUGGGAUGGAGCUGAAGGUGCUUCGUUGCACAACUCCCUCUUCGUCUCCUCUCGUUCGUUUUUUUCGCGGAUCGCUUCGUCGUCCUAAUCAUUGUUAUUACGGGAGGUCGCCCCGUACGCACACGCGCUUUUUCUCCCUCGUUCACAUCCCCAUGCAUCCCCCGUUCGCGCGGCCUCCUCCACCCUCGGCGAUAGAUUUUGGUCAAGCCAAUUACAUUUUUUCCCCGGUCGUGGAAAGAAUAAAACUAUGAUACCCUUGGCCGGUAUCACGCCGCUCCUCACCUGCCUCGGACAACGUCGGUCGGGCUCAGAAACCCUGAAAACGAUCCCGCAAAAUUCGUAGGCGCGACAGACGCGCUUAAUGCCAAUAAUCAUGGCGGCGGAUCAUCAUCUUCGUUGUAUCGUAUUCUAAUUUCCGCACAUAAUUCCCGAAAUCUCUAUGUGGAAAAAUAGCGACGCUAAGUUUCUGCCUUAAUUAAUACACGCUCCUUAACAUAAUCUCCCCGUUAAAGAUAGUAAUUUAUCAAACUCGUAUGCACGUCGAAAAAGUCGUACAAAAAUCCUGUAAAAUCUCAUUAACGUCUUCGGAGAAUGACUUGGAGCAAUAUUGACAGACAUACACGGUGUACAACACGAAUUGUACUCUCAUGUCCCAUGAAGUGAAAGGCUGAGUUAACACGCGUUCUUGUUAAGAAGCCAUCGAGCGAGACCAUUAUCGAAAAAAAUCUAGGUAGCCAUGGCGUAUUAUCAGGAUACCACUGGGGCAAUCGGGAAUCACGAAGUCGUCGUGCUUCACACGCGAAUCUUGUUACUCUCCGAUUACGAGGCCUAACGAGUGCGUCACGGCGUCCUCUUACGAACCCGAAGACAGCUGGUCGGCCGGAGGAGAAGGCAGAGAGGGUCUCGUCGUCAAUUUUCUGCCCGACAGAUCUGCGAAUCCGCGUCGCCGAUCCGCUCCCCUCGAUCUAAGGCCCUCCACCCGCGCCCGCCAGCCUCGCCGGCUCUUCUUCCGAUGCGCUCUCCAUCCUCAUAGUGUCUCCCUCGCUCCACCGCGAGCCCAGUAAUUGAUAUUAUUAUGGGCCAGAGAGGCCCUCCCAUUACGUUAUAAAUGUUACACAGGUCGAUUACCGCUCUUUGUUCCGGACAUGCUUACAUUGUCCGCGAACAAUGCUGGGCCCUCUUCCUCCGCCACCUCCUGUUCCCUGGACCCCGGCGCAUCGUACGCGAAGGAAGAAGAGGAGAGAGAGAGAGAGAGAGAGAGAGAGAGAGAGAGAGAGAGAGAGAGAGAGAACGGAGGAGAGAGUUAACCCCACGACUUAACCUAAGAGAUAUCAAGAUAUCGGUAUCGCGUCCUUUUCUCAGCGUGAUCCCCCUCUGAUCAUCCUCGACGAGAGAAUUCGAUAUUUAUUGAGUUCGUUUGUACUUGUCAGUUUGAAUAUUAGCAUACCAUUUUCAUAUACAACAGAAAAUAUUAAACAAAUUAACCAAAGAAAUUAUGCAAACGCUUAAACUUAUUAGGUCUGUUAAUAAAAGUCAGCCUAGUUGCGGAGUAUGAAAAAAAAAUUGCACAAUUAAAUAAAGAAAUUACGCUAACGCAUAUAAAAAUAUU